UCUGGGGUUCCUUGAAAGCUUAUCAGGUACAACUUAAAGCAGAGGUUGCCAAACGGUGAUCUGUCCACUUCCUUCAGGUGGUCUACAGCAUGCCUGUGAAGAGCAGGUAGAUGGCCAGGUUCUAAGAUCAGUAAUGGCAAACAGGUGUCCCUGUAAAACAGCUCACAUAAACACCUAGAAGAUGGAAGUAGCAGGAGAACUGGGGUACAUUCUAUGCUACACUCUCAAUUAACAAGAAGUGACCCUAGGAUCCUCUCCUAUGCACAGGGAUUCUAUAGCAGAAAUGUGAAGAUUCAUGACAAGCUGCCAUGAAGAGGUUCCUUGAAGACAGACAUUUGAAAACCAUAGAAAUAAAGCAAAUAGAAUUAUAGAUC